rnacentral:rRNA from 1 species
ACUCCUACGGGAGGCAGCAGUGGGGAAUAUUGGACAAUGGGGGCAACCCUGAUCCAGCCAUGCCGCGUGUGUGAAGAAGGCUUUCGGGUUGUAAAGCACUUUCAGUGAGGAGGAAAACCGUACGACUAAUACUCGUAUGGCUUGACGUUACUCACAGAAGAAGCACCGGCUAACUCCGUGCCAGCAGCCGCGGUAAUACGUAGGUGGCAAGCGUUAUCCGGAAUUAUUGGGCGUAAAGCGCGCGUAGGCGGUUUCUUAAGUCUGAUGUGAAAGCCCACGGCUCAACCGUGGAGGGUCAUUGGAAACUGGGAAACUUGAGUGCAGAAGAGGAAAGUGGAAUUCCAUGUGUAGCGGUGAAAUGCGCAGAGAUAUGGAGGAACACCAGUGGCGAAGGCGACUUUCUGGUCUGUAACUGACGCUGAUGUGCGAAAGCGUGGGGAUCAAACAGGAUUAGAUACCCUGGUAGUCCACGCCGUAAACGAUGAGUGCUAAGUGUUAGGGGGUUUCCGCCCCUUAGUGCUGCAGCUAACGCGUUAGGCACUCCGCCUGGGGAGUACGACCGCAAGGUUGAAACUGAAAGGAAUUGACGG